GGUGGAUACAAUAUCUUUAUUUUAUUUUUAUGUGGUGCUGAGGAUCGAACCCAGUGCCUCACACAUGCUAGGCAAGCACUCUACCACUUGAGCCACAACCCCAGCCCUGGCCUUUUAUAUUUUUGAGACAAGUUUUCAUUAAGUUGUUCAGGUCCUCACUAAGUUGCUAAGGCUGGCUUUGAACUUGAAGUCCUCCUGCUUUAGCCUCUUGAGCCACUGGGAUUAUACGUGUAUGCCACUGUACCUGCCAUAGUAAGAGAUCUUUAUGUUAUUGAAGGGAUGCCCCAAAAGGAUUUGGGACCCCAGUUUCUCCUUUUUUUUCUCUUUUGUUUCCUGACUAUGAGCUGUGCAGUUUUGCUCUGCCAGUUUUGCUCUUGCCAUUGCCAUCCAGCACCCCCAUUGGAGACCUAAAAUAAAUGGGUCCUCCUGAUCAUGGACUAGAACCUCCGAAACUGUGUGCCAAAACAAACUUUUUUUUUUUUUUAAUAAGUCGCUUAUCUCAGGAGUUUGUUAUAGUGAUGGAAAGCUAACAUAAAUACAUUUGCACACAUACAUAGAAAACAUUUUCAUUGUUCUUUUUUAAAAUAUCAGUUUAGUAUAUUAUCAUUCCUUGGCUAUAGUUAAUACAACACAGGCUGUUUAAUACAGUUUACUUUAAAAAUUAUUCAUUCUGGGUUUGAGGUUGUGGCUCAGUGGUAGAAUGCUUGCCUAGCAUAUGUGAGGCACUGGGUUCGAUCCUCAGCACCACAUAAAAAUCAGGAAAUAAAAUGAAGGUAUUGUGUUCAUCUACAACUAAAAAACAUUUUUUUAAAAAUUAUUCAUUCUGGAAAGAAUAAAUACUCUAAAUUUUGCUCUUUGAGAAACCCUUUCUACACUUAUAUACUUGGAAAAUCAGUUUGAUUCCAAGUAAGUUAUUAAAGGUAUAGUAUAUAAUAAAAUAUAGAGGUUAAAGGCUCACAUAGGGCUGGGGCUGGAGCUCAGUAACAGAGCACUUGCCUAGCAUGUGUGAGGCACUGGGCUUAAUUCUUAGUACCACAUAAAAAUAAAUAAAAUAAAGGCAUUCUGUCCAUCUACAAUUACAAAAAAAAUUAAUUAAAAAGAUUCACAUAAUCUAAUUCAGGGUUUUGUUUUGUUUAGGACAGAGCUUAACAUUUCAAAUGCAGAUAGAGAUCUAUGUUGCUGGAUAAAACAGAAAUUAUCCCACCAACAUCUUUCAUCAUAAAUUUAAGUUUUUUCAAAUGUGCUUGUGUGCGUGUGUGUGUGUGUGUGUGUGUGGUGGGGAUAUAUGUUUAUACAGUGCUUUGUUAUUAUUACUUUUUAAUAUUUGUUUUUAGGUGUUGAUGGACCUUUAUUUUAUUCACUUAUGUAUAUGUGGUGCUGAAAAUCAAACCCAGGGCCUCUCACAUGCUAGGCAAGUACUCUACCACUGAGCCACAACUCCAGCUCACUAUGUAGUGCUUUAUUAUUUAUGGAGCACUUUUACAUCAUUCAUUGUUUUAACACUUUUAUAAGAUAGAUGUGAUAGUUUGUCCUAUCUGCUUUUUUCCUUUCUUCUUUACAUCUAUCCAUCAAUGCUUAACACAUUUAACUACUACUUAUUGAAUAUUUCAAAUAAGAUUUCUACUUUUUUAAUAUUUAUUUUUUAGUUAUAGGUGGACACAAUAUCUUUAUUUUAUUUUUUAAAUGUACACCUAAUUUGCAUUAGUUAUGUUCUUGGUGUAAUGCAACCAUCACCAGUAUUUCCAAAACUUUUCAUCGCCCCUAAACAGAAACUGAACCUAUUAGGUAAUAAUUCUUCAUUCUUCUUUCCUCCAGUUCCUGGUAAUCAUUUUAUGUUUUUAUGAAUUUGCUAAAUUCAAAUACUUCAUUUAAGUGGAAUCAUAUAAUAAUUUUUCUUUUGUCUCCAGUCUAUUUCAUUCUGCAUGAUUUUAAGCUUCGUCCAUAUUGUGGCAUUCCUAUUUAUGGUUAAAUAGUAUUCUAUUUUAUGUAUACACUAUAUUUUAUCCAUCUGUUGCUAGACAUUUGGAUUAUUUCUAAAGUGUUUUAGUAGUUUAUAAGUUUUUAUAAAAUAAUACCUUUUUUGUUUUCUGAAACUUAUGGACUUUCAUUGCUAACCAGGUUUAGGGUAGGUAGCUGAUUUAGCUUUGGAAUAUUUAAUUUAAUCAUAAUUCAUUUUCAUUCUGUAAUUAGUUUUUAUUUUCCCUUUAGUUAUUGUUUUUUUUAUUUUUCUUAGUAGUGUUUUUACUAAAAUAUUUGCAUCUUAAUGAUAAAAUUAUAGUAUAAUGUGACAGAAAGAUCAUAAGAAUAGAUUUACAAGACUUGCAUUCUAAUUCCAGUUGAGACAUUAACAAGUCAUGUCAAUUUUGGCAUCUUUAUUUUGUCAUGUCUUUAUCUUAUUUAUAAGCAAGCUAGUACUAAGUGAUUGCUUAAUUUCAUUGGUCUAAAUUUUGUGGUUUCUAUUUCUGUAGAGGUAUUAUUAAAUAUUUACUUUAAAUGAUCAAUACUGAAAAUAUUGAAAAGAGUCCAGUAUAAAUACAUUUUUAUACUUAGGUUCCCAUUGUAAGACAUUGAAUUUCAGUUUUGAGAUGCAAAGUUGAAAUAUUCUGUUGUUUAAAAAAAAAACAGUUGCAGAAGAGAGGCUGGCUGUUCAUAAUAUGUAUUUUUAGUUAACAUCAGUGCCUAAAUUUACUGUUACUGUUAAAAUUUACAGAACAUUUUGCUCCCUCAGAACUGAUUUUGGCAUAAAAUAUGCUGACAAGAUUUCAUGUAUUUUUGACCACAGUAUAUUCCUUUGCCUCUUUUCCAAUUUUGUUCACCAUUGACAUACGCCCUUCUGUGAUUCAACUAUCCAUUUGAUUCUCAUUAUGUGUAGUAAAAUGUGAGUUUUUAAACACACCAUUACUCUGUGAUUUUAUGUUUUACUUAUUCUGUGAGGAUAUAAAACUUGGGUUCCCUCAGAAGGGUUUGGGAACUCACAGAAAUUGUAUUAUUCUAACCUAUUUUCAAAAUUAAAAACUACAAGAUAAAAGACAAAGGCCAAUAGCCAUAUAAUAUAAAGAAAAUUCGUAUCAAGAAGUCUUGUCAAUCAAGGCUCAGAGAAAAGCUAAUCGAUUACAUACACAACUGAUCUAAUGAUAGAAAGUCUACCAGUUCUUUUGGUACUGAUUGAACCCCAGAGCCCUUAACCACUUGAGCCAUAUCCCCAGCCCUUUUUUUCAUUUUUUUUUAAAGUUGUCAUUGGACCUUUUUUAUUUAUUUAUAUUUUUAAAAUACUUACUUUUUAGUUGUAUGCA
rnacentral:lncRNA from 1 species